GUUACAGAAUAAGUAGGUGUAUUAGAAUUAGGCAAAUUAUUAUUUAUAAUACGAAAAGUUCAAUCUAGAGAGAAUGCGUAACCAUAAUUAAUACUAUGGAAAUUGCAUCUAAAUGUUAAGCCCUACUUCGAGUUAAAAAAUGGAACAGCAAUGGGACGUAGGAAUAAAAUAUAAAGGGAAUCAAUUAAACCAUUAAGUAAUUUAAAUACAUUAAUGAUGUUAAAUAAAGCGGUAAAUUUGCAUACCUAAAUGAUAUUCGAAAUAAUCAACGCAAUUUAAAUCAACUAAAUCAGAGGUAGAUGUGGUAUCAGAUUGGUUAGAAGGGUUAGAUGAACCUAACCUAACCGAUUUUAAAGAAUGAAGUAAAGAAAUAUCUUGAUGUAUAUAAUAACAGAUAUAUUAUUUAGAGUCAUUAUAAUUGGAAUGAAAUUUUCAUACCACUAAAAUACGUUGGGUUAUCCACUAAAGAUGAUUGUAUGCGGGUGAGGUAGUUUGAAUAGGAUAAUUU